rnacentral:rRNA from 1 species
GGGGAAUCUUGGACAAUGGGCGCAUGCCUGAUCCAGCCAUGCCGCGUGAGUGAAGAAGGCCUUCGGGUUGUAAAGCUCUUUUACCAGGGACGAUAAUGACGGUACCUGGAGAAUAAGCCCCGGCAAACUUCGUGUCAGCAGCCGCGGUAAUACGAAGGGGGCUAGCGUUGUUCGGAAUUACUGGGCGUAAAGCGCACGUAGGCGGGUCGUUAAGUCAGGGGUGAAAUCCCAGAGCUCAACUCUGGAACUGCCUUUGAUACUGGCGACCUAGAGUCCGGAAGAGGUUAGUGGAAUUCCCAGUGUAGAGGUGAAAUUCGUAGAUAUUGGGAAGAACACCAGUGGCGAAGGCGGCUCACUGGACUGGUAUUGACGCUGAGGUGCGAAAGCGUGGGGAGCAAA